rfam:Oryza glumipatula chromosome 1, whole genome shotgun sequence.
AAAAAGGCAAACCCUGGGUUUCCGUGUCUAACUUUGACUGUCCGUCUUAUAUGAAAAUUUUUUAUAACUUGUAUUUCUAUUGUUGUUAGAUGAUAAAACAUGAUUAAUAUUUUAUGCGUGACUUGUCUUUAUAAUUUUUUUCAUAAUUUUUUCAAAUAAGACGGACGGUGGCACGAAAACCAAGGUUUAUCUUUUU